ACUAGCGUGGCAGAGCUCGGUAAAUGCAAAAGGCUUAAGCCCUUUACCCAGAGGUUCAAAUCCUCUCC
rnacentral:tRNA from 1 species